rnacentral:lncRNA from 1 species
GGCUAACUUCCUCAGUGCUUAGAAUCUGAAAAAAAUGACAAAUGUGGAUGAUAGGCAUCACCUCAUCUCUGAAGCAGAUCAUGAAGUAAAUCCUGGACCAAUGAAUAUCCAGUUUGAUUCAUCAGACCUAAGAUCCAAAAGGCCUUUCUAUAUAGAACCCACAAACAUCGUCAGUGUGAAUGAUGUCAUUCAGAGGGUUAGUGACCAUGCUUCUGCCAUGAACAAGAGGAUUCAUUACUACAGCAGACUUUCUACUCCUGCAGACAAGGCACUGGUAAGAAGAAAAGCAUUACUAAUUAUCCAAAGUUAAGUUGAAAACAACAGUGAACAACAUAAACCAGGGCAACUCCCAGUGAUUCCCCUUUCUGCUGAUAAUAUUCCAAAGAUAACAUCAUGCAAAGUCAAAGAUCCCAAUUAAUAUAUGUCCUACAUUUUAGGCUAGUUUAUUCUCUUUCUUUUUUCUGAAACAGAGUCUCGCUUUGUAGUUCAGGCUGGCCUUGAAUUUACUAUGUAGCCUAGGCUGGCCUCAAACUCAUGACAAUCCUCCUACCUCAGCUUCAAACUUGUGACAGUCCUCCUGCCUCAGCCUCCCAAGUG